CCCAGACUCCUACGGGAGGCAGCAGUGGGGAAUAUUGCGCAAUGGGGGCAACCCUGACGCAGCAACGCCGCGUGCGGGACGAAGGCCUUCGGGUUGUAAACCGCUUUCAGCAGGGAAGAACCAUGACGGUACCUGCAGAAGAAGCCCCGGCUAACUACGUGCCAGCAGCCGCGGUAAUACGUAGGGGGCAAGCGUUAUCCGGAUUUACUGGGUGUAAAGGGGGCGCAGACGGCGAUGCAAGCCAGGAGUGAAAGCCCGGGGCCCAACCCCGGGACUGCUCUUGGAACUGCGUGGCUAGAGUGCAGGAGGGGCAGGCGGAAUUCCUGGUGUAGCGGUGAAAUGCGUAGAUAUCAGGAGGAACACCGGUGGCGAAGGCGGCCUGCUGGACUGCAACUGACGUUGAGGCCCGAAAGCGUGGGGAGCAAACAGGAUUAGAUACCCGCGUAA
rnacentral:rRNA from 1 species